UCCCAAGAAGGAAGUGGGGAACAAGGUAAGAGAAGGAGGCCCUCGCGGCGGCGAAGGAGUAGAGAGUGGAGAGCCGAGCCCUCUGGCUUCGCUUUGGGGUUCCUUGAUAUCAGGGUCACACUGUAAGUUUUCGUCAGUUCUACCACUUCAAGUGUCGCCUCCUCGAGGCACCUUAAUACCUAUUUUUCUUAUUAUAAGCGUUGUACAGACAAUAACGAGUACAACUGGUGCCGUUCAGAUGCGAAUGCCUAAGGGAACACCGUCGACGACCCUAAUAGCGGGUCCUUCAACGACCACUACAAGCGUACUGACUAUGGGCACGUCUACUCCGUCUUGCACCAUAAUGUUAGUUUAGGUGCCCAUAGAGGGAAAAGAUAGUCUACUGAGGACUUAGUGAACUCUACAUGUUCCCGCUGUCCCUACCACUACUCAUGGAAUAGUUGGAAUAACUAAGUGGACCGGUGCAACUGAAGAGAAGCCUUCACUGUCGACGAGAAGCAUAGUGACUACCACGAAACCACCACCAACUGACAUAACUCCCACAGACACACGUCUGGCUUUGACACGACGCGGUUCGAGAACCACUCUCCUAAUCCGGACAGGAGUGGCACUUGUUCUACCUGUCUACGAAGGAACUCGAAGUUCACCUUCCACUCCUUCGUAUGGUCUGAAAGAGGGCACAGUAACUUUUACGGUUACAGUAGUACCGUUGUAUACUUCUACACGACGAACCACUACAGGUUCACAUGGGCCUCUUCCCCUGACAACGUAAGAGACGACCAAACGUACCCACCCGAAAGUGGGAAUGUUUGAAGCGGUUCUACAUACGGAGGUUCAAACCUCAACUACUCCGUUUCUACUACCUCUCCGACACCCCACUCUUGAAGAAACUGGGUCGGUGUUUCUUUACCUGGAGGUUCUUGUGACCCUGUCGAUGGACGUUCUCUCCAAAGCAAGUCAAGACGAUACUCGGUUAGUUCGUUUAGUAUCGUUGGACGUACUUACUGGUCUUCCUAUUCAACACCGGAUACAACUUCUUCGAACCACACUGGUACUUCUUGCUACUCUUCCUGAACUACCCGUUCCGAGAGUACUUCGCACACUACGUUUGAACCGACGGACGGUCAGCACGAGACGAACUCUACUACUAUAAAGUAGAGGGAAGAGGAAGUUUCCGUGUCUCCAUAGCACACCUCUUGAAUAUGCUCCCGGGGGAACUACUAUAUAUACGAUUACGAUAGUCUUUGACACUGGGACUACCAGGAGAAUACGACAUACAGAGGUUCUACUAGGGUCGUAGACUGUUCCCAUCUAAGAAACGGAAACCUGCACAAAAGCGACCCUCCCAACGGUGACCGUACUUCCAGGCAUAGUACCCUGGAUUGAAACAAGGACCGGUCUUCUUCCUAGACAUACACUUCUCACAGGUCGCAUGACAAUAGACCUACCCUUUCUUCGUUCUCAGACAACUCCUACAAGGGACACCAUUGUGACAACGAAACCAACCAAACCUAGUCAAGUAGUGGUUCUUACGUUGGGACUGUUUACUCUUCCUUCAACUACGGACGGGUUAGUCCCGUUACUUCAAGAGACACAGGGGACAACACGCACAACGACAAGUCACGUUCCACCGAAGACUAGAAGGAUUCGAACAACUCCCAAACUUCGCAGACCGGUUCAGACUAGGAUACCAAGAGACAUGGUAACUUCUCAGACCACUCGUAUAGUAGCGACCUCGGCCUCUCGAAGUAGAACUUUAGACGAACUUCCUAGACGUCCUACUGAAGUACCCACCACGACUUUAGUAACAAAGGGGGGGACAGCAGAGGAAGGCACUCUGACAAGACCUCUUCAGGACGGCAUGGCAAUACUCGUUCAGGGGGUUGUUCGUAUUGGCAGAAAUGUACCUUCGAGCGGGUAACCUCCUCCCUAACCGACUCCGAUAACUACUACCGGCGUAACCGGGCGCACUACUAGGAUUCCACGCGAGGUUCUAGGACAGACUCCUCAAACCAACCCUGUUCCUAGAGCGGUUCUUCUAAACCACGAAACCUGGACUCUGCUGACCGGGGUUGUACCAACACCUGUACACAUUCCCUCACGUCAUGGACUUACUUUAGUUCCUGAGACAACACCGACCCAAGGUCACCCGUAGUUUUCUUCCUCGUGAUACACUCCUCUUGUACGCGCCGUAGACGAUACUCCAGACACUACAACAAGAGGUGUGACUACGAUAAGUGUCCCCACCACCAGUCCAGUAGGGUUGCCGCUCCUCCCAGUAAAUGCGAAGAGUCGAGUGACGGUUCGGUUCCGACGACCUCGGGCACAUGGACCAACUCUAGGUCCGGGGCCUCUUGCGUGAACCACCAUAGAUACCACACGACUUAGUCUUCUCUCCCGUGCACAAGCUCCUCUACGUCUCCGUUCCAUGGGGUGAGAUGUUGUAGUUCCGGAUGGACGGGCAGUAGCUCAGGAAGCCCAAGAGCUCGUGGGACUCCCGGCGCUGCAGGCCGGUCCGGAAGGGGGUCACGCACAAACUGGUGACCCUGUAGUACCGGAGGCUAGGAAACCUGGGGCCGUGGGUCAGCCGCUGCGAGCACUGCCUCUAGGCGUUCUCCUUCCCAGAGUUCCUCGUCUACUGGGGGGAUAGGCUAAAGCUCCUGUUCGAGAUUUGAAACCCAGUACAAAACGACGACCGACAACGACACUUCCCUCCGCGCCAUAAAAAGAGGGAUACACAGAAGGAAUGAUAGAACAACAAACAUACACCACGAUGACUCUGACACCAAAACUACUACCAACACCACUACAUUGUCUACAAUUUGAAUCUACUAUAUAAAGACCGUAGGGUGCCACCAAUAAAAAUGACACGACACAAACGAAAACACGUUCUAGAACGAAAGUAAAUGUAUAUAUGCAUAAACUAACAACACGAUCGUUAACACGCACAACAUUACAAACACUCAAGG
rnacentral:rRNA from 1 species